CACGCAGGCGGUUUGGCAAGUCGGAUGUGAAAACCCCGAAGCUCAACUUCGGGCCUGCAUCCGAAACUGCCCGACUAGAGGUAGGUAGGGGAGAUCGGAAUUCCUGGUAUAGCGGUGAAAUGCGCAGAUAUCAGGAGGAACACCGGUGGCGAAGGCGGAUCUCUGGGCCUUACCUGACGCUCAGGUGCGAAAGCUAGGGGAGCGAACA
rnacentral:rRNA from 1 species